rnacentral:ncRNA from 2 species
UUAAGGGGUUGCGACUGGCGAUGAGGUGGGACACCACCGGGGAGCAGCACGAUGGAUGACCUCAAGGAUCGUACGCCUGGGACGAGAGG